rnacentral:lncRNA from 1 species
GUAUGAUGAGAUGGUAGUUGUGUUGGUGGUGUAUAAUUGGUCUUAGUUAUGUUGGUGGUGUAUGAUGAGAUGGUAGUUGUGUUGGUGGUGUAUAAUUGGUCUUAGUUGUGUUGGUGGUGUAUGAUGAGAUGGUAGUUGUGUUGGUGGUGUAUAAUUGGUCUUAGUUGUGUUGGUGGUGUAUGAUGAGACGGUAGUUGUGUUGGUAGUGUAUAAUUGGUCUUAGUUGUGUUGGUGGUGUUAUGAUGAGAUGGUUAUUGUGUUGGCAGUGUAUACUUGGUUUUAGUUGUGUUGGUGGAGUAUAAUUGGUCUUAGUUGUAUUGGUGGUGUAUGAUGAGAUGGUAGUCGUGUUGGUGGUGUAUAAUUGGUCUUAGUUGUGUGU